AUUGAACGCUGGCGGCAGGCUUAACACAUGCAAGUCGAGCGCGCGGCGGACGGGUGAGUAAUGUCUGGGACACUGCCUGAUGGAGGGGGAUAACUACUGUAACCUGUAGCUAAUACCGCAUACCCUCAGUUGUGCCCAUCUGGGAUUAGCUAGUAGGGGGGGUAAGGGCUCACCUAGGCGACGAUCCCUAGCUGGUCUGAGAGGAGGACCAGCAACACUGGAACUGAGACACGGUCCAGACGCCUACGGGAGGCAGCAGUGGGGAAGAUUGCACAAGGGGCGAAAGCCUGAUGCAGCCAUGCCGCGUGUGUGAAGAAGGCCGUCGGGUUGUAAAGCACUUUCAGCGAGGAGGCGUUACUCGCAGAAGAAGCACCGGCUAACUCCGUGCCAGCAGCCGCGGUAAUUC
rnacentral:rRNA from 1 species